GCUGGGUGUGGUGGUGCAUGCCUGUAAUCCCAGCUACUCAGGAGGCUGAGGCAGGAGAAUCGCUUGAACCCAGGAGGUAGAGGUUGCAGUGAGCCAAGAUCAUGCCACUGCACUCCAGCCUGGGUGACAGAGGGAGACUCUGUCUCAA
ensembl:misc_RNA Metazoa_SRP Metazoan signal recognition particle RNA